rnacentral:rRNA from 1 species
AUGAACGUGUUAAACUGGAACUGCCGGGGAGGGGGGAAUACCCUGACAGUUCGUGAAAUAGCGACGCUUGUACAGUCGCAUUCCCCAAGUUUGGUGUUCUUGUGUGAAACCAGGCAAAAGGAAGAGAGGUUGAAGAGACUAAGAGGUCGUCUUGGCCUGAAAGGUUUUGAGUGCGUGGACUGUAAUGGACUAAGUGGUGGUCUUGCAUUAUUUUGGCAUGAAAAUUGCCUGGUUGAUAUCCUUGAUAAGGACGAGAGAGAUAUUGAUAUAACAGUGCGCUUGCAUGCUGAUGCUGAACAGUGGAGAGUGACUUUUGUGUAUGGGGAACCUCGGGUGGAGAAUAGGCACUUCAUGUGGGAAAAGAUGCAGUACUUGUACUCGUCAUCGGAUCUCCCCUGGCUAGUUAUAGGAUAUUUUAAUGAAUGCCUAUGGAACUUUGAGCACAUGUCCAUGACACCAAGACAAGAACCACAGAUGUUGGCUUUUCGUGAUGUGUUGGAAACUUGUCAACUAAUUGAUUUGGGGUUCUCGGGGAUUCCCUUUACUUAUGAUAACAAGAGAAGUGGUGCUGCAAAUGUUAAAGUUCGCUUGGACCGGGCUGUUGCUUCAAGUGCAUGGCGUAAUAUGUUUGCUUUUGCUUCUGUGACUCAUGUAGUUUCGCCGUGCUCUGACCAUGUAGCGUUGGUGCUUAAGGGCUCUCCGGACCCAGGGCCGACGAGAGGAAGGGUGCGUCAGUAUGAAAUAUUUUGGGAACGAAGUGAUGAACUACCAGAGCUGAUCAAGGAUGCAUGGGAGUCUGUUGGUGCUGUAUAG